UGCCAAUGUUGUUUCCCAAUAAAAUGCAACUUUUUUAGCCUCUUCUUUUAUAUCAGGAUUAAUCUGGGGUGAGACCAUCCUUAACUGCUCCAGCAAUAAGAUACAACUCUUUUUUGAAACUCGUAACUUGAUGUCCUUAUUUCCCUUCAAGUUGAAAGGAUGGGAAGCAUUAAUUACAUCCAAAACAAGCCUUCCCGGAUCACAUGCAAGUCGAAGAGCAGCAGCAAUCUUACUAUGUUCUAAAUCAUUAUCCUCAUGUUUUUUAAGUAACAGUUUCAAAUCCUCCUUACUC
rnacentral:misc_RNA from 1 species